rnacentral:misc_RNA from 1 species
GGGGGUGUUAUAUUUGGGUGAGAGUGGUC